rnacentral:rRNA from 1 species
GCGCGAAAACUUUACAAUGCUGGCAACAGCGAUAAGGGAACCUCGAGUGACAGGUUACAAAUCUGGCUGUCGCGAUGCCUAAAAAGCAUUUCAUAGCAAGAGCCGGGCAAGACCGGUGCCAGCCGCCGCGGUAACACCGGCGGCUCGAGUGGUAACCGCUAUUAUUGGGUCUAAAGGGUCUGUAGCCGGCAGGAUAAGUCUCUUGAGAAAUCUGGCAGCUUAACUGUCAGGCUUUCAGGAGAUACUGUCUGGCUCGAGGCCGGGAGAGGUGAGAGGUACUUCAGGGGUAGGGGUGAAAUCUUGUAAUCCUUGAAGGACCACCAGUGGCGAAGGCGUCUCACCAGAACGGACCUGACGGCAAGGGACGAAAGCUAGGGGCACGAACC